rnacentral:lncRNA from 1 species
AAGUAGAUUCUUUGGCAGAUUUGCCAUCAGAACGGAGACUAAUAUCUGUGGCAUCAAAUCUGUUUUCUUUGCUACACAGAGUUUGAAAACUGUUUUUAAGGUUUUAAGGGCUUAUAUGAUACUUUUAGGGUUUGUUUCCUUUAGAUAUCUCCCAUUGGAAGCAGGUUACACAACAGCAUGAAGAAUAUGGAAGCAGAGGCAAAUUUGGGAACAGAAUCCAGUUAAUGACAUCUUGGAGGAACUUAGAAACAGGAAGUGACUCAGGAUUGGGAAGCACCAGAAAAAGCUGCUGACAUGACAUGGUGACAAGCAUUCUUUGUCAAUUGACUUUUUCUCCCGCCCCCUGGAUCCUAAGGAAAUGGCACAGCAUUUCCUUGCCCUGUCCUUGACGUGCUAUGCCUACUCUAAGCUAGAUAGGGGCUUGUGAAAGAAAAACCUAAGGAAGCCCCCUGCUCGUGCCUGGAGGAAAGAACUGACGACUUCGUCUUUGCCCUCAGCCAAACCGCCACAAGUAUCUUUGUCUGCCUGGCUCUCCUGGGGCCAUCACAGAGGGCUGGGGAUGCUGACAGCCAUAAACUCCAGGCG